CUAAAGCUCAUACAAUGCAUUGGUUGGUCGAUGGUGGUUACUUCAUUCGUUUGAAAAAUCUCUGGAGAUGUUGUUUCUUUACAUAUAUAAUCCUAUCACUUCUUGUGCCUUCCCUUUCAUUAUCUCUUACUUCAAUUUAUGUUGCUAGCAGAUAAGCAAAUACUUAAAAGAAGGUCGAGGCUUUGUUGCUAUUUUUCUUUGUUCCCGCUAUCUGUUCCUAUAAUGUAAAGUGUAAUCUGAACUUAUUUCAUUGUUGUAGACUAACAACUAGAUGAUCUUGAACACCUCCCUCAAGAAGGUAAUAUUUUUGUUAAAAUUCCUGUUUGGUUCCUGAAAUACUGUGCGACAUAUCAUAUUCAUCUUUGUUCCUGAAAUGUGAGCAAAGCUUCGUAGACGGCUUCGCUUCCUCCUCGCUUCUUUCCUGGCGACUAGCUUCUCAAGUGGGCGGCUUGGUCCACGUUUCGAGCAGCAACAGCUUUAGUUCAGGAGCAUACCUUCAGACCGGAGAGACCCGAGGUAGCCUUGCAGGCGUCCGCAGGCCCGGCGUCUCCCUUCUAUCCUUAUAUUAGACUGUCAUCUCUUUGUAUUCGGGAUAAACAGAUUUCUGUUUCUUUCAGACCUUGUAUUUAGUAAAUUCUUAGUAGUUUCUGAGUAAUGUGACGCCAGUCUUGGGUAGAGGCUAUUGUUGAUUGUUCCGCGUUAUGAUUCAGAUUAUAAAUCAGACUUCCGCUAUUAUUAAA